CUGGGCCUACGGGGGGCAGCAGUGGGGAAUAUUGCGCAAUGGGCGCAAGCCUGACCCAGCAACGCCGCGUGAAGGAAGAAGGCCCUCGGGUUGUAAACUUCUUUUAUUCGGGACGAAACAAAUGACGGUACCGAAUGAAUAAGCCACGGCUAACUACGUGACAGCAGCCGCGGUAAUACGUAGGUGGCAAGCGUUAUCCGGAUUUACUGGGUGUAAAGGGCGUGUAGGCGGGAGAGCAGGUCAGACGUGAAAUUCCAGGGCUCA
rnacentral:rRNA from 1 species